rnacentral:rRNA from 1 species
UACGAAGGGGGCUAGCGUUGCUCGGGAUCACUGGGCGUAAAGCGCACGUAGGCGGAUUGCUAAGUCAGGGGUGAAAUCCUGGAGCUCAACUCCAGAACUGCCUUUGAUACUGGCGAUCUCGAGUUCGGGAGAGGUGAGUGGAACUGCGAGUGUAGAGGUGAAAUUCGUAGAUAUUCGCAAGAACACCAGUGGCGAAGGCGGCUCACUGGCCCGAUACUGACGCUGAGGUGCGAAAGCGUGGGGAGCAAACAGG